rnacentral:rRNA from 1 species
UACGUAGGGGGCAAGCGUUGUCCGGAUUUAUUGGGCGUAAAGAGCGUGUAGGCGGUCAGGUAGGUCCGUUGUGAAAACUCGAGGCUCAACCUCGAGACGCCGAUGGAAACCAUCUGACUAGAGUCCGGAAGAGGAGAGUGGAAUUCCUGGUGUAGCGGUGAAAAUGCGCAGAUAUCAGGAAGAACACCCGUGGCUAAGGCGGCUCUCUAGUACGGUACUGACGCUGAGACGCGAAAGCGUGGGGAGCGAACAGG